UGUAUGCUUAUGCCUGUUGAUGUCUGUUUAUGUGAUGUUAUGUUGAAGGUUUAAGCUAGUUUAUGCAUGUGGGAGAGUGUAUGCAUGAUUGGGAAAGAGCAAGUGAGGUUUAAGCUAGUUUUGAUGGUUUUGACUUAUAUGGGUCAUAAGCUCUUUAUGUAUGCUUUAUGAGGUUCUUUGUUGGAGUUUAAGCUUGUUUAAGCUCCUUUGUGCAUGGUUAAGGGUUUAUGCAUGUUUUGGUAAGG
rnacentral:lncRNA from 1 species